CCUACGGGUGGCAGCAGUGGGGAAUAUUGGACAAUGGGGGGAACCCUGAUCCAGCCAUGCCGCGUGUGUGAAGAAGGCCCUCGGGUUGUAAAGCACUUUCAGUGAGGAAGAACACCUGGUGGUUAAUACCCAUCAGGAAAGACAUCACUCACAGAAGAAGCACCGGCUAACUCCGUGCCAGCAGCCGCGGUAAUACGGAGGGUGCGAGCGUUAAUCGGAAUUACUGGGCGUAAAGCGCGCGUAGGUGGCUUGAUAAGCCGGUUGUGAAAGCCCCGGGCUCAACCUGGGAACGGCAUCCGGAACUGUCAAGCUAGAGUGCAGGAGAGGAAGGUAGAAUUCCCGGUGUAGCGGUGAAAUGCGUAGAGAUCGGGAGGAAUACCAGUGGCGAAGGCGGCCUUCUGGACUGACACUGACACUGAGGUGCGAAAGCGUGGGUAGCAAACAGGAUUAGAUACCCUGGUAGUC
rnacentral:rRNA from 1 species